rnacentral:rRNA from 1 species
AGUGAACGCUGGCGGUAGGUCUAACACAUGCAAGUCGAACGGCAGCACAGUAAGAGCUUGCUCUUACGGGUGGCGCGUGGCGGACGGGUGAGGAAUCCAUCGGAAUCUACUUUUUCGUGGGGGAUAACGUAGGGAAACUUACGCUAAUACCGCAUACGACCUACGGGUGAAAGCAGGGGAUCUUCGGACCUUGCGCGAUUGAAUGAGCCGAUGUCGGAUUAGCUAGUUGGCGGGGUAAAGGCCCACCAAGGCGACGAUCCGUAGCUGGUCUGAGAGGAUGAUCAGCCACACUGGAACUGAGACACGGUCCAGACUCCUACGGGAGGCAGCAGUGGGGAAUAGUGGACAAUGGGCGCAAGCCUGAUCCAGCCAUACCGCGUGGGUGAAGAAGGCCUUCGGGUUGUAAAGCCCUUUUGUUGGGAAAGAAAAGCAGCAGGUUAAUACCCCGCUGUUCUGACGGUACCCAAAGAAUAAGCACCGGCUAACUUCGUG